rnacentral:rRNA from 1 species
UUCCGGUUGAUCCCGCCGGACCUGACUGCUAUCGGAUUGAUACUAAGCCAUGCUAGUCUUUGUAGUAAUACAAGGCAUACGGCUCAGUAACGCGUAGUCAACCUACCCUAUGGACGGGGAUAAUCUCGGGAAACUGAGCAUAAUACCCGGCAGACCACUUAUCCUGGAAUGGUUAGUGGUUAAAAUGAUUCGUCGCCAUAGGAUGGGACUGCGGCCUAUCAGCUUGUUGGUGAGGUAAUGGCCCACCAAGGCGAUUACAGGUACGGGCUCUGAGAGGAGAGGCCCGGAGAUGGGUACUGAGACAAGGACCCAGGCCCUAUGGGGCGCAGCAGGCGAGAAAACUUUGCAAUGUGCGAAAGCACGACAAGGUUAAUCCGAGUGAUUUCUGCUAAAGGAAUCUUUUGUUAGUUCUAAAAAUACUAGUGAAUAAGGGGUGGGCAAGUUCUGGUGUCAGCCGCCGCGGUAAAACCAGCACCUCAAGUGGUCAGGAGGAUUAUUGGGCCUAAAGCAUCCGUAGCCUGUUCUAUAAGUUUGCGGUUAAAUCUAUACGCUCAACGUAUAGGCUGCCGUAAAUACUGUAGAACUAGGGAGUGGGAGAGGUAGACGGUACUCGAUAGGAAGGGGUAAAAUCCUUUGAUCUAUUGAUGACCACCUGUGGCGAAGGCGGUCUACCAGAACACGUUCGACGGUGAGGGAUGAAAGCUGGGGGAGCAAACCGGAUUAGAUACCCGGGUAGUCCCAGCUGUAAACGAUGCAGACUCGAUGAUGCAAUGGCAUAGAGCUAUUGCAGUAUCGCAGGGAAGCCGUUAAGUCUGCCGCCUGGGAAGUACGUACGCAAGUAUGAAACUUAAAGGAAUUGGCGGGGGAGCACCACAAGGGGUGAAGCCUGCGGUUCAAUUGGAGUCAACGCCGGG